rnacentral:rRNA from 1 species
AAAACACUAACGAACGCUGGCGGCAGGCUUAACACAUGCAAGUCGAACGCCCCGCAAGGGGAGUGGCAGACGGGUGAGUAACGCGUGGGAAUCUACCCAGAUCUACGGAACAACAGAGGGAAACUUCUGCUAAUACCGUAUACGCCCUACGGGGGAAAGAUUUAUCGGAUUUGGAUGAGCCCGCGUAAGAUUAGCUAGUUGGUGAGGUAAUGGCUCACCAAGGCGACGAUCUUUAGCUGGUCUGAGAGGAUGAUCAGCCACACUGGGACUGAGACACGGCCCAG